rnacentral:rRNA from 1 species
UUAAUGAAGAGUUUGAUCCUGGCUCAGGAUGAACGCUGACAGAAUGCUUAACACAUGCAAGUCUACUUGAAUUCUCUUCGGNNAUUGGAAACGAUAGCUAAUACCGGAUAUUAUGCGAGAGCCGCAUGGCUCUUUCAUGAAAGCUAUAUGCGCUGCAGGAGAGCUUUGCGUCCCAUUAGUUAGUUGGUGAGGUAACGGCUCACCAAGACCGCGAUGGGUAGCCGGCCUGAGAG